rnacentral:rRNA from 1 species
UACAGAGGGUGCAAGCGUUGUUCGGAAUUAUUGGGCGUAAAGGGAGUGUAGGCGGCUCUUUAAGUCUUCUGUGAAAUCUACGGGCUUAACCUGUAACGUGCAGAGGAUACUGAGGAGCUUGAGUGUCGGAGAGGAUAGUGGAAUUCCCGGUGUAGAGGUGAAAUUCGUAGAUAUCGGGAGGAACACCAGUGGCGAAGGCGGCGACCUGGACGGACAUUGACGCUGAGACGCGAAAGCGUGGGGAGCAAACAGG